rnacentral:lncRNA from 1 species
AUGAGCGAACCGGCCGGAACCGGAGGAGCAGGGGCUGGAGCUGGUCCAAGCUUGGAAGAAAGAUACCGAGCGUUGGAAGUCCAACUUGCGCUGCAGACGGCGAGGCUUGAGGAGAGAAGGGCUCAGGAUGCAGACACGAAGGGGAGAGCCACCCAGUUCCCCAGAAAGGUACCUGGAUUGGUGCAGAAGUUUGGGGGGGACCCCAAGGACUACCAUGCCUUUAGGACAGAGAUGCAAUAUGCCCUUAAUGUGCAGUUUGAUGAGUUCCCUGAUGAGGAAUCGCGAGUUGCGUUCGUGAUUGGGCAUCUUGAGAAGGGCGCGCGGGAUUGGGUUCGACCCCUGAUGGCAACGCACAAUGACGUCUUAAAGGACACUAUGAAAUUCUUUCGUGCAAUGGAUAUCAUGUUUUCCAGCGAUAUUGAGGAAGGGGUGGUGCGCAGACAGUUAAUGGCUUGCAAGCAGGGAAGCCGAUCUGUCCGUGAGUAUUGGACUGAGUUUACCAUGCUGGUUCACAGAUUGGGGUGGGAUUUAUCGGCGGCACCCAUUCAGAUGCUAUUUGAAGAAGGUCUUUCUUCGGCUGUGAAAGACGAACUGUCCCGGAGCCCCAGGGCGGUGUCUAUGGAUCAGCUGACCAAAUCUGCGCUGACCAUAGGAGCGCGCCAGGAGGCAAGAGCCUUGGAGAGGCGGGAAGGGAGAGGGGAACGUUGGAAGGAGUUCCGCAUGCCAGACAUUCCUGAGCCAGCUUUCCCGCCGGCAGAGCCGAUGGAAAUCGGAACAGCGCGCGCGCGCGCAGUUUCAAAACCCUGUGAGGGGGCUAAGAAGGAGGGAAAGGGUGCCCGGAAAUGCUAUCUCUGCCAACAGCCAGGCCACUUUGCCAGAGUCUGCCCCCAGAGGAAGGAAUGGCAAGGGAUGGUGGGAGCUGUUGAGGGAGGAGAGCAGGGAGAAACGGAGCAGGUAAAAGCCAACGCCUGGUUGCCACAGUCGGGGCACUGCAGCCAGGCCAAAGAGCAGUGA